GACGAACGCUGGCGGCGUGCUUAACACAUGCAAGUCGAACGGAAGGGCCCUGCUUUUGUGGGGUGCUCGAGUGGCGAACGGGUGAGUAACACGUGAGUAACCUGCCCUUGACUUUGGGAUAACUUCAGGAAACUGGGGCUAAUACCGGAUAGGAGCUCCUGCUGCAUGGUGGGGGUUGGAAAGUUUCGGCGGGUGGGGAUGGACUCGCGGCUUAGCAGCUUGUUGGUGGGGUAGUGGCUUACCAAGGCUUUGACGGGUAGCCGGCCUGAGAGGGUGACCGGCCACAUUGGGACUGAGAUACGGCCCAGACUCCUACGGGAGGCAGCAGUGGGGAAUAUUGCACGACGGGCGGAUGCCUGAUGCAGCAACGCCGCGUGCGGGAUGACGGCCUUCGGGUUGUAAACCGCUUUCGCCUGUGACGAAGCGCGAGUGACGGUAAUGGGUAAAGAAGCACCGGCUAACUACGUG
rnacentral:rRNA from 1 species